CGCGUUUAGAAUAUUUGGCUGCUGCUAUAAAUUUUCACCUGCGAUAAGCCACUUCGUUGAGCAAUCCUUUGUGGCCAGGUCGCUUCUGAAAAAGAGCUACAUACCUCAGGUGGGCCUUACCUUGUAUACACGAUAAUUGCGAAUAGUCGCUUAAUAAAACGGAACUAAAUCGAUUCGUGAAUCAAAAUCGGAAGCGCAUAGACGUGAAACGAGUUUCGACCAAUUAUAUUUAAACAAUACAAAAUUAGCGCGGUGGAAACGAGAGAGAUACAGAAUGUGGUCCACUUUGAAUCUAACCGCGACACCAACACGAAGCGACGGCCCACGGAAUCCGUGGGAAGUCGGCUUGGGUCAAGCACGAACGUUCGUUGAACUUCUUUUGCGCCGUACCGUUUCCACUCACCGUCCGUGGAAUCGUCACUUGCCGAGUGGAUAAUGGUUGUGUUCACGGGGUGGGUGGGGGGGGAGUUAUUAAUUGGCCUCCUCAAUGUAGCUGGCGUCGACUGAUCGUGAUGUGGACCGGUUAGGUCAGCCGAAGAGGAGACUCAAUGAUUUUGGUCAAAUCCUAAGCAAUUGCAGCCAGCCAGCCAAUUCACUAUCGGCCAGCCACGAUUAUCAAUCAGCCAACUGAUGAACAAUCAGCCACUUAACACUAAGCCAGCCACCAUGAUCAAUCAGCCAGCCACGAUGAACAAUCAGCCAGUCACGAUUAACAAUCAGCCAACCGAUGAACAAUCAGCCCCUCACAAUAAACAAUCGGCCAGCCGAAUUCAGUACCGCAUCCUCUCACACUGAAUAUCGAUGCAAGGUCACAUGUUACCACUGUAUUUAUAUAACGUGAUGUAUGUGUAAUAUUGAGCUACGAGAGCUGUAAGUCUGUGUUAUUUAUGUCGAUGUUACUAUGUUGAUGUUGUCGUGUCGCACUAAGCUAUCGCGUUAUUCAGGUCGCGUUAUAUUUUAACUUAAACGACGAACUACGCCCUGAUUGGUCACCCCCGCCCUUCCCCCCACGGGUACGAGACAGCCAAUCGCAUGCUAGCGUGCUCAAGCACGUGGUUGUUCUGUGGCCAAUGGUUGGUACUGUCGUUGUUUUGCGACACGUGGUGUGCGGGAAGGGAGGGGGCGGUGUCGUUUGUUCGAAGCCUGAUUGGUCGGCAGUGCCGGCACGCGGUGGCAAAUCGGCGCCCCGUGAUUGGCCGGGCAGUGGGGCACUUGUUUACGGUGAAUCGAUGUUUCUCCCGGUUACGUGGGAUCGUGUUAAUAAAGGUACCGGUGCAACCGAACACA